rnacentral:tRNA from 1 species
CGGGAUGUAGCUCAGUGAUACAGCACUUGCCUAGUAUGCAAGAGGUCCUGGGUUCAAUCCCUAGCACUGCAA